CUUGUUAAGGACAAACGUGUUAGUGCUUUUGAAGAAGAUAUUACCUUAGGAAGAAAAACGAAGCCUGAAAAGUAUCCUGCAUAUACAACUGGCAACAUAAGACCUUGCCAAUCCAAGCUCUCCUCAGAAAAUAACUGUGGACUCUCUAUGCUCUUAUCAAGAUGUUAACUUUCAGAACUAAUUAUGAAUGAAGAUUACUGCCUGAUGUUCAGGUUUCUGAUUCAGGCUCUUCUUUCUUUUCUCCAUGGUAUCUGUGAGCUGGGAAGACGAGCUACUCAAAGAUCAAGCUAUAUCCGGAUGGACCAAAGAAAUAAUCAUGAAGCCUAACCGAGACACUACUUUGGUGUGGCCAGACAAUCUGGGGAGAAUUUUCCUUUUCACUGGCUCCAAUAACUGUGGCGGAGGACAAAGAAAAGAGGCUCGGAGGCUCUGUGAACAUUUUCUGCUCUCAAAGGGACUUUGAUUUCCCAUCUGCCAGACUGUCAACACUUUUCUGUGUCUGACCUCAACAAGGAAAGCCACCAGCAUCAUUUCCUACUUGGCUCUGUUGUGUCAAGUUCAGAGGGAGCCUGUUUCUGUCACCUUUCUCCCAGAAACACCCAUGCCACUGGCAGGAAUGACAUGGGGGAGGAGACACAAGAAGUGGAACUGGUCACUGACAGGAGAUGUCCUGUCAGGAAAGCCUUUUGGAGCAUGUCCAAAAAGGGGAUGGGAAAAUAAGUGAGCCUGGCCCUAAAGUGCCUGAAACUAUUCAGGGAAUGUAACCAAGUGCCCAAGUCCAUCGUUAGGGAGGAGAAAAGGAAGUGUCCUCCCAGCAGGGAGAGUGUAGUGAUGCAAUGUGACAGCAUUUUGGCUUAGUCUCUGCUAUCUUUGCGACUGCCCAGAAACAUUUGCUUUGUACUGUUUUUCACUUUGUUCUAGAAUUCAUUCUGUCAUAGCAGAAAUGACAAUGAUGACAGACUGUCGCCCUUUCCCUUCUGUUGCCCUAAACAUACAUUUUUUCUUCUUGCCUUCCUGCUUCCCCCUCUCUUAUUUUUCCCUUUUAUUCAUGCUUUCCAUUUAACUGCUGACACCUGCAGAUACUGUAUGACCUCCUUGAUGCUUUUUAGAACAAAAAGACUUUGACUGUCAUCUAUUUGAAGAUAUGGGCUGACUGACCACAAGAAAUACCACAAGAAGUAUAUACAUAUAUAUAAAAUAGAGUUUUCUACAGGCUAAUGACAUUUGUUUUACUACAUGAGAGUCAAAUUAGGAGAUUUUUAUAGUGGGGUACUGUGAGAAACUGAACUUAAUCUAAUCUUACUGUGGCAUGUUAAAGAAUAUGAGUCAUAGUAUGUCCUAGAUACAGGGCUGGGCAACUGUAGGAAGUGCUGAUAAGGAAUUAUGAAGAACAAAAUUUCAGAGUGAGCCUGAUCAAGAAUGACGGAAAACUGGAUGUCUGAAUAAGCUGAACAUAGCUACUGAUGCAAAUUGAAUAACUGUUGACUAUUUACGAAAAUUGCAUUGAUGGACUGCAGUUUUAAUUCCAUAUAAAUUGCUCUGAAUAGCCAUGACAGCUUUAUAGCCACCUGCUGGCUACCUGCAAGAAUUCAGGCUUUUUCUUUGGUUUGGUUUUGCUCAGUAAUAAACUUAACUAAUUCUACUUUUACAAUAUG